UACGUAGGAGGCAAGCGUUGUCCGGAAUUACUGGGCGUAAAGCGCGUGUAGGUGGUGGGACAAGUCUGCUGUGAAAGCGCCUGGCUUAACCGGGCGAGGUCGGCGGAAACUGUUCGACUCGAGGACGGUAGGGGGGGGUGGAAUUCCCGGUGUAGUGGUGAAAUGCGUAGAGAUCGGGAGGAACACCUGUGGCGAAGGCGGCCCCCUGGGCCGGCCCUGACACUGAGACGCGAAGGCGUGGGGAGCGAACGGG
rnacentral:rRNA from 1 species